ACCUGCGGAGGGAUCAUUACCGAGUUUACAACUCCCAAACCCCUGUGAACAUACCACUUGUUGCCUCGGCGGAUCAGCCCGCUCCCGGUAAAACGGGACGGCCCGCCAGAGGACCCCUAAACUCUGUUUCUAUAUGUAACUUCUGAGUAAAACCAUAAAUAAAUCAAAACUUUCAACAACGGAUCUCUUGGUUCUGGCAUCGAUGAAGAACGCAGCAAAAUGCGAUAAGUAAUGUGAAUUGCAGAAUUCAGUGAAUCAUCGAAUCUUUGAACGCACAUUGCGCCCGCCAGUAUUCUGGCGGGCAUGCCUGUUCGAGCGUCAUUUCAACCCUCAAGCACAGCUUGGUGUUGGGACUCGCGUUAAUUCGCGUUCCCCAAAUUGAUUGGCGGUCACGUCGAGCUUCCAUAGCGUAGUAGUAAAACCCUCGUUACUGGUAAUCGUCGCGGCCACGCCGUUAAACCCCAACUUCUGAAUGUGACCUCGGAUCAUGUAGAA
rnacentral:rRNA from 1 species